AGCUCAUCCAGAGGGGCAGAGGGAAACGGCCCGAUGAAGCCCCGGCAACCCUCCAGUCGGUACUCGUAGGUCACUGGCGACCACUUCGCGAGGCUCCCGACUAGGGAAGGUGCCAAAUCCGUCUCACGGCGAGAUGCGUCGUGAGGAAGAUGAGGA
rnacentral:ncRNA from 24 species